GACGUAGGGUGCAAGCGUUGUCCGGAUUUACUGGGCGUAAAGAGCGCGUAGGCGGUCUUGUAAGUGUGAAGUGAAAUCUCCAGGGCUCAACCCGGAAACUGCUUUGCAUACUGCGAGACUAGAGGGAUGCAGAGGUUUGUGGAAUCCCUGGUGUAGCGGUGAAAUGCGUUGAUAUCAGGAGGAACACCCAUGGCGAAGGCAGCAAACUGGGCAUCAUCUGACGCUGAGGCGCGAAAGCGUGGCUAGCAAACAGG
rnacentral:rRNA from 1 species